rnacentral:rRNA from 1 species
AUUGAACGCUGGCGGCAGGCCUAACACAUGCAAGUCGAAUGGUAACAGGAAACAGCUUGCUGUUUCGCUGACGAGUGGCGGACGGGUGAGUAAUGUCUGGGAAACUGCCUGAUGGAGGGGGAUAACUACUGGAAACGGUAGCUAAUACCGCAUAACGUCGCAAGACCAAAGAGGGGGACCUUCGGGCCUCUUGCCAUCAGAUGUGCCCAGAUGGGAUUAGCUAGUAGGUGGGGUAACGGCUCACCUAGGCGACGAUCCCUAGCUGGUCUGAGAGGAUGACCAGCCACACUGGAACUGAGACACGGUCCAGACUCCUACGGGAGGCAGCAGUGGGGAAUAUUGCACAAUGGGCGCAAGCCUGAUGCAGCCAUGCCGCGUGUAUGAAGAAGGCCUUCGGGUUGUAAAGUACUUUCAGCGGGGAGGAAGGGAGUAAAGUUAAUACCUUUGCUCAUUGGCGUUACCCGCAGAAGAAGCACCGGCUAACUCCGUG